UAUAGAUGGAUCCGCGCUGCAUUAGCUAGUUGGUAAGGUAACGGCUUACCAAGGCAACGAUGCAUAGCCGACCUGAGAGGGUGAUCGGCCACACUGGAACUGAGACACGGUCCAGACUCCUACGGGAGGCAGCAGUAGGGAAUCUUCCGCAAUGGGCGAAAGCCUGACGGAGCAACGCCGCGUGAGUGAUGAAGGUCUUCGGAUCGUAAAACUCUGUUAUUAGGGAAGAACAUAUGUGUAAGUAACUGUGCACAUCUUGACGGUACCUAAUCAGAAAGCCACGGCUAACUACGUGCCAGCAGCCGCGGUAAUACGUAGGUGGCAAGCGUUAUCCGGAAUUAU
rnacentral:rRNA from 1 species